rfam:Giardia lamblia ATCC 50803 SC_589 genomic scaffold, whole genome shotgun sequence.
GCUUCCUUAGCUCAGCUGGUUAGAGCGUGCGGCUGUUAACCGCAAGGUCGGCGGUUCAAGCCCGCCAGGGAGCG